rnacentral:tRNA from 1 species
GGCUCCAUAGUGUAGUAGUUAGCACAUCUGCUUUAGAUGUAGAAGGUUCUGGGUUGCACCCCAGGUGGAGCCA